rnacentral:rRNA from 1 species
AAGAGAGAGACAUGCGCGCAUAUCAAUAAGCGGAGGAAAAGAAACUAACAAGGAUUCCCUUAGUAACGGCGAGUGAAGCGGGAAGAGCUCAAAUUUGAAAUCUUCAAGGUUUUACCUUGACGAAUUGUAGUUUAAAGAAGUGUUUUCUGCUGAAGUUUUGGUAAAAGUUCUUUGGAAUAGGACAUCAUAGAGGGUGAGAAUCCCGUAUUUGACCAUUAUUUUCAGCUUUGUGAUACACUUUCAAAGAGUCGGAUUGUUUGGGAAUGCAGUCCAAAAUGGGUGGUAAAUUUCAUCUAAAGCUAAAUAUUGGCGAGAGACCGAUAGCGAACAAGUACCGUGAGGGAAAGAUGAAAAGAACUUUGAAAAGAGAGUUAAACAGUACGUGAAAUUGUCAAAAGGGAAGCGUUUGACACCAGUGUUGUUUUCUCGAAAAUCAAUUAAAAAAGGCAGGAUUUUGUGUUGUAUUAACUUUAUCAGCUUUCUGCACUCUUUUCUUGUCUUUUUUAAUGCACUUUUCGUUUAACAAGUCAACAUCAAUUUCUUUUGUUGUAAAAGGGUCAUUGGAAGGUGGCUUUCUUUUCGGAGAAAGUGUUUAUAGCCUUUGGCCUCUGCAAUCGGAGAGAUUGAGGUCUGCAGCGUAGAUCCUUCGGGGUUAGAUACAUUUGUGCUAAGUUAUAGCCUUUCAUAGACAACUUGUUGACUAUGAUCAGUCAUGUAGCUUACUCGCUUAUGCUAUUUUACCUACGCUUAGGAUGUUGAAGAUGUAGCACAUCAU